rnacentral:misc_RNA from 1 species
UUCGGUAGGUUUAGGAAAGGGGGCAACUCCUAUUCUGGAACCGAGAAGCUAGUCAAACUUGGUCAUUUAGAGGAAGUAAAAGUCGUAACAAGGUUUCCGUAGGUGAACCUGCGGAAGGAUCAUUACUGAUUUGCUUAAUUGCACCACAUGUGUUUUUUAUUGAACAAAUUUCUUUGGUGGCGGGAGCAAUCCUACCGCCAGAGGUUAUAACUAAACCAAACUUUUUAUUUACAGUCAAACUUGAUUUAUUAUUACAAUAGUCAAAACUUUCAACAACGGAUCUCUUGGUUCUCGCAUCGAUGAAGAACGCAGCGAAAUGCGAUACGUAAUAUGAAUUGCAGAUAUUCGUGAAUCAUCGAAUCUUUGAACGCACAUUGCGCCCUUUGGUAUUCCAAAGGGCAUGCCUGUUUGAGCGUCAUUUCUCCCUCAAACCCCCGGGUUUGGUGUUGAGCAAUACGCUAGGUUUGUUUGAAAGAAUUUANCCUUGAAACCUAUUUUAAACCAACUAAGGUUAUUCCAAACCCCUAUUUUGCUAAUGGCCCCCCCAAUUUAUUUCAUUACCUUGAACCCCAAUUAAGUAAGANUAACCGCUGAANCUAAACCUAUUUAUAANGGNAAGG